UCUCAAGUCUAACCGAAGCCCAACAAACCACCACCUCGGCCAUGGCAACCACCCUCGCCACCGACGUCCGCCUCUCCAUCGCGCACCAGACCCGCUUCGCCCUCCGUCUCGCCUCCACCAUCUCAUCCGCCCUAAGUCUGCUGCCAGCAAUGCCGCCUUCUCCCCGGUCUCCCUCCACUCCGCACUUAGCCUCCUCGACGCUGGCGCGGGCAGUGCCACUCGGGACCAACUCGUCGCCACACUCGGGACAGGCGAGGUCGAGGGACUCCACGCGCUCGCCGAGCAGGUGGUCCAGUUUGUGCUCGCCGACGCGUCCUCUGCUGGAGGUCCGCGUGUCGCCUUUGCCAAUGGCGUCUUCGUGGACGCGUCGCUGCUCCUCAAGCCAUCCUUCCAAGAGAUUGCAGUGUGCAAGUACAAGGCCGAGACCCAAUCCAUGGACUUCCAAACUAAGGUGACCCCCCCCCCCAACUUGGUUCUUACCAGAAAACAAAAACAAUGUAAAAGAAUUUUUAACGGACCUAAUUAUGUACAUUUGAGAGAAACAAUGACAUGCUUAACUAACUACUUCAGCCGCCUGUACAUGUUGGCAUGCCACUGCUUCACUCAGAGAGUUUGUUUUCUGCUGAUGUAAUAUAGAGGUCUAUAUUAAUCUUAUACACAUUCUAGAUUUGUAAUUUAGUGGUUAUCGUAUAUCACUGUUUUUUACACUAGAAGCUUCACCUUUGUAAGCAUAGUUCACACCUGCGACCUUGAACUGUGAAUGAUUUUGCUUAUCCUGUUAGUCAGCAUGAUUGGAGAUAACUAGUCUGUUACUUUUCUGAGCAUACCUAAUCUUUUGGGAGUGUAAUUCUCAUACCGUGCUAUCUAGGGAUAUGAAGGCUGGGGAAUUUGCUGAUGUUUUAUACUUUAAUUACGCUCUUCAGCGAAGUGAGAUUAUAAUUUUGGGAGUAUUUCCUGGAAACUUUGUCUCCAACGUAAGAAGAUGUACAAAAAAUCAGCUAAAGAUUAUAAUUUUGGGAAUAUUUCUGUAAAAGGUAUUGCAUAGUGGUGCUUCGAGAUGUUGUGAUGACCAUUUAAAUUUGUAUGCUCAUAUGAAUUGUUUUUCUAUCAUACGUCGUUGUAUGUGCUGAUUUUACUAUGUGUUUGAAAAUUUUACUAUAGAAAUGCUUUAUAAAAACGCUAGUAUGCUGCUUUGCAUUCUUAGCACAACUAUUAUAUUUUGUUCUUUGAAAGAAUUUUCUAUUGGUUUGUUCAAAGGUUGGUGGCACAGCAGUACCGUCAAACUAUUUUCAUUACAUAACUGACCUUUGUUUAUUUUUUCCAUGGCCCAGGCCGCUGAAGUUACUACUCAAGUGAACUCAUGGGUAGAGAAAGUCACGAGCGGUCGCAUCAAGGACAUUCUCCCCUCAGGAUCUAUUGACAAUACCACUAAACUUGUUCUUGCCAAUGCCCUUUAUUUCAAAGGAGCUUGGACAGAGCAGUUUGAUUCAUAUGGAACAAAAAACGACUACUUCUACCUUCUUGAUGGGAGCUCAGUUCAAACACCAUUCAUGUCCAGCAUGGAUGACCAAUACCUUUUGUCUUCUGAUGGGUUGAAGGUACUUAAGCUUCCUUACAAGCAAGGUGGGGACAAUAGGCAGUUCUCCAUGUAUAUCCUUCUUCCAGAAGCACCGGGUGGUCUCUCAAGCUUGGCCGAAAAAUUGAGUGCUGAACCAGACUUCCUGGAGCGGCAUAUCCCAAGGCAGAGGGUUGCACUUAGGCAAUUCAAGCUCCCCAAGUUCAAGAUAUCAUUUGGAAUUGAAGCAUCCGAUUUGCUCAAAUGUUUGGGCCUCCAGCUUCCAUUCGGCGAUGAAGCGGAUUUUUCGGAGAUGGUGGAUUCCCUAAUGCCACAAGGUCUUCGUGUCUCAUAUGUUUUCCACCAAGCGUUUGUGGAAGUGAACGAACAAGGAACUGAGGCUGCAGCAUCAACUACUAUUAAAAUGGUCCCGCAACAGGCAAGGCCGCCCUCGGUCAUGGAUUUCAUCGCGGAUCACCCUUUCCUCUUCCUUCUCCGGGAAGACAUCUCUGGUGUGGUCCUAUUCAUGGGUCAUGUGGUCAAUCCCCUCUUAUCUUCGUAAUGUGUUUGCUCUGAAAGUGUGUGUUGUCAGUUGCCCUCAGCCAUUACAUGUAAGGGAAGGGUUUCGACGGUCAGUCAUGUUACCGAUACAAUAAAUCCAAUAAAUGGUUCUCCUAAGAUAUCCAAUAAAUUGUCUUUUAAUAACUGCUUGCUUGUUGUGCAAAGGAAAACCAAUUGGACUAUUUUUCAUUAAUCAUUGUGGAUUUGUGGUAGUGCGGAUUUCUCAAAGAACUACUCAUGCCAAAAGAAAAAAUCUAAGUCAUCUUGAUUAGUACUAUCCGACAUGAAUCUCAUCGUCAUUAACAUCUAUAUUUCACAAAAAAAUGCCAAUGGCCACUUUUUGAGAUUGAAUAUGCUCUUCAAUUUCUCUUCUUCUUAGAUUUUUCAUAUCCUCGCUUAUCUUUAGAUACACUAUAACUCCUUGAGAUUGGAGCUCCCAGGGCCGAUUGUGUUGAUCGAUUUACAUGGCCCCACAUGAACGGACGUGACCUUCCACGCUACCCUCUUCCUUGCCGCAGAUCCUUCCUCAGUUUCUCUCCCUUCCGAGAAUCUAUUCCGACAUAGAGACAACGCCUCCAGCACUAUAGUUGGUGCGGCCGACCGCUUUCUGGCUCUCCUCUCCGAUUCCCUGCCUCAGAGCAUCUACAGCCUCAAACACGGUGUGUCUGCGGGCACUGAUCGGUCACUUCACAAAUUGGCAUCUACAUUCGUGUAUUUCAUAUCAGAUCUCCUAUAUCCAUACUAAACUAUGUAGCAUUGAUCAAACUACGUAUAUCAUCAAACGGACAAAAAAUGCACUAUACGUUCAUCAAAAGAUCAUCAACGGAUCUUCGAAAUACCGCCAAAGUUCACAUAGUGCACAUAAAUGACGGACAACUUUAAACUACGUCUAAAAACUGAGCGGAUCUUCAUCACUUCCUCGCCGGAACUUUCCCUUUUCGGUCGCCAGCACAGCUGUAGGCGUCGGCGGCUGGUGGAGGAUCGUCCGAGUCGUCGGACGAGGCGCCGUGGUCGUCACUAUCGUCAGAGGAGGAGCAGAGGAUGAUGAGGCGUUUGAGGCGCCGGACGGCCCGGUCCUGCUGCCGUUUGAGCUCCGCCAGCCGAGCCGCCUCCAAUGCUUUCUCCUCUGCCUCGCGCUCGAACUGCUCGAUGGCAAGCCGGAGCACCUUGGCGUUCUUCCAGCGGAGCUGCCGAUCAUCCGUCUCCGCUGUCGUAAGCGACCGGCAGUAGACCCAAGUGGGGAACCGCUCGUCCCCGUCGAGCUCCGCCGGAAACCCGCGGCGGCGGCGGACAUAUUACUCCUCCGCGUCCCUCUCCCUUGCCCGCUGCCUGCGGUGGCGGGCGUCGGACAGAUUUCUCCGCCGCGUCCCUCUUCCUUGCUCGCUGCCUGUCGUGGCGGGCGGCGCGCGCCUAGCGUGCAUGCCGCGCUCGCUGGGCGGGCACAAGUACCCACCGCUACCCAUGUGGGGGAGCAGCAGCCGACGAGGACAGGGGAUAGUGUGGGGGAGGCGCGGACUGCGCAGCCCUCGUGGCGCUGCGUGUGGGCCGGGAGGGGCCUGCGCCGGCGUCCUCGCUGCGCUGGAAGGGGAGAGGUGAGGCGGCAGAUCCGGAACUGACCUCCGUGUCCACCUUGGACCUCUCGACGGCAAUGCGGAGAGCCAGCACCUCGUCGAUGUUGACGUCAGAGUCGGAGCGGCUGCCGGAACUAGACAUGGUCGCCGGAGUCGUUUGACUGAAUCGAAUCUGGGAAAUCCGAGGAGGAGAAGAGAUGAAACGAGAGCGGAGCGAGGUAGGGUUUUCGAUUGGGGAUAUUUGUGGUGACGGCGUGGGGCCGGUGUGGACCGGGCUACCAUGGCGGACGCACCCGGGGCGCUCGAUAUCCGCCCUAGAUUUGAUCUGAAUAUGAGGGGAGUGAGACAGUCCAAGCAUUUGAGGCUUGUUUGAGGACACGUCUGGAUCAAAUUUUCAUGCUCGGUCAAUGAUCGCGCCAUCCGUCCGGACGUUUGAGACGGAUUUAGAAUGCGCGCCUGUAGAUGCUCUCGGCCUCAAUCUUUCGCCUCCAAACGUUCCCCCGCGACCAACCCAAUCCAGGCCUCGUUCACCGUCUAGCAGUCGUCUGCGCCGCCUCCCGCAAUUCCUCCGACCUCCGGUGCAACACUUCAUGUAACUUCCCUGGAUCAUCGCGCUUCCCGCGCCGUCUCGUCGACAGUCGACGUGCGCUUCUCAUGUUCAAUUUUUCAAGGAUAGUGUCACCGCUUUUUUCUCAUAGUGUUUGGCUGCUCGAUCACCUGGCCGCUGUUAAUCUCAUCUCGGUGAUGCAGCAAACAAAGGAGAGUGCGGGUCUGCAGUUCAAGGUCAGACUGCAGUGCAACUGUGCAAUGUAAGUUUGACUGACACGCUUGGAUCUGCCGCGUCUUUGUGCUGGGUGCUAGUCGCUGCCCUGCUAGAUGCAUGGAAGAGUUGCAUGUAUACACACCGGUGUUGAGCGUUGGUGGCCUCAUUGGUGACUGUCGUGGUUCUAAGUCUGACAAUAGAAUGGGGGGUAAGUAUGGAAAGGCAAGGUCCUAGCUAUGGAGUAGUUGUACACACGGGUGUUUAGCGAGUUUAGACCCUUCUCUGAGGAAGUAACAGCCCUACGUCUCGGAGCCCGGAGGCGGUCGACUGAUCUCUAUGUAUAUGAGUUACAGAAGUGCGAACCUUUCUACCAGUGGAGGGGGGUGGCUUAUAUAGAGGACGCCAGGACCCCAGCCAGCCCACAUAGAGGAGGGUUAAAGUACAUUAAGGCUGGGCGUUACUGGUAACGCCCUAUAUAAAGUGUCAUCAUGACCAUUAAGACUAUUUAAUUACAGACCGUUUGGAUGCAGAGUAGAUCCUGAACUUCCGAUAGUCGAGUGCGUCUUCAUGGUCGAGUGUCUUCUAGCUAGUCGGGUGGAGUCUCCCUUGGUAGAGUGGAGCUUCUUUUGGUCGACCGGAAGGUAGCUUCGUAUGAUAAUGUCCUUUGGCAUGGUAUCCUAGAUAGGUCCAUGACCCUAACCUAGGUACAUAACCUCAUCAUUAGCCCCCGAAUGGAUCGAGGUUCGAGUGAGGAAGGAGUUGACGAUUUUCUCCGACUUAUUUACUGUACUUUGAUUGUGUCGUAUCUUGGAUCGGCGAUUCUUCUUUCGGCGCUGGCGUCGACUUUUACUUCAGUCGCCUUGAUCCAUUCUUAUCUUUUGUCGAGUGAACUUUUGAACUCCGGUGAACUUACGAGCGACGGAUCGCGGGAAGGAUAUCGUCUGACAGAUUGAUCUGCUGUUAGCGGAUUUUGCGGGAUCUGAAAUUUGGGAAGCGCACGAAGCGGGGCAAUCCGCGGCAAUCGGGCGGGAUAAGGCAUGGACGCCUUGAUUUCCGCGUCGCCUUUUUCGCCACGUAUCGUACGUGUGCGACUGUUUCGGGAUGUGACAGAUCUGCUCGGACCCACUCGUCAGCCACUCGGAAGCGCCCUUAUAUAAAGCGUCGGGGAAGAGUUUUUGAACAGUGCCUCCCCAUUCUCCUCUCUUCCCUCUCUGCCUCCGCCCACGGCGCCUGCUCCUAGCUCCGCCUUAUCCACCUCUCGAGCGCUUCGCCGACGAUAAUGGUGAAGGAGAAGACGGCGGUUCUAGAGCGCGCGAAGAAGGUGACGGCGACGGGGCAAGCGAAGGGGAGACCGUCCAGUCGGGGCGGAUCUUCGUCGAGGUCCCGCCUGCCGAAGGGUUGGGUCCAAGGGGAUUGGAUCCGCUCGACCAUCACUGGGAAGGACCUCGACGACCUGGCCAAUGAGGGACUGAUCCCCCACGGGUCAGCAAGGCCCCCGGGGUCCGAGUGUCAACCGCAGCCGCAGGAGGGUGAGCGCGUUCUCUUAGCCACUCACGUAGAUCGUGGUUUUUCUCUGCCGCCGAGUGUGUUCUUCCGUGGGUUUCUGAAAUUCUUUGGGGCGCAACUCCACCAUUUCAAUCCCAAUUCCAUCGCCUAUCUUGCUGCCUUUGUGUCCAUGUGCGAGAACUUCCUGGGUUGUCGACCGCACUGGGGUCUCUUCAAGCACAUAUUCACCUGUCGGUCGCAGACCGUAAAAAAGGCGAGCUCGGGUGAUGAGAGGACCAAGGUUAUUCAGAUGUGCGGGGGUCUUGGGAUUCAGUUGAGGAAUAAGAGCACUUUCCCGGCCAUGACCCUUCCUGAGUCGGUCAGAGGGUGGCAGUCGACUUGAUUCUACUGCCAAGACGAGUCGACGCCGGGGCAGUCGACUGGUCUCCCUCCGUUCUCCAUGGACCGAGUGGUCAAACCGUCUUCUCUGAAGGUGCUUCCUGAGGAGAAAGCCGAGGUAAAAAUGUUGGUGGAGCGCAUGGUCCAACUCGUUCGGGACGGAGUGACGGGCAUGGAUCUUCUGAAAGUAUUCCUUAGGCGGCGCAUCCAACCGCUCCAGUAUCGAGGCCACCCGAUGUGGUUGUACUGCGGUACCGAAGACACCACUCGGGUCCAUCCAGAGGCAGUCGACGACGCCACGCUGGAGAGGUGGGUGACCUCCAUCACAGGGAACAAGGACAACCGUCGAGGAGUGAGGAGGAUCCCGCCACUCGACUGUACCUAUACGCCGGACAAGGUAUGGCCGCUUAUCUCCGAGUGUAAUUUUGUUUUAUCCAUUCUGCUUUGCCACAAAUUGGUCGAUUGAUCUUUGUUUUGCUCUGUUGUCUGAUAGGCCACCACUGAAUUGUACUCGAUUCCCAAUGGGGCGCAGACGCCGACUGAGGAGGAGGAAGGAAGCGGGGGCGAAAGCCCGGAGGAGUGGGAUUCAGAUGUCGACGACGACGAUGAGGGUGAUGACUCUAGUGAGGAGGAAGAAGAGGAGGAAGAGGAGGAAGUUGCACCUCCCCGCUCGGAAAGACGCUCGAAGCUUGCCCAUGAUCCAGCGACUGAGCGGGGUAAGGGGGUCGCAACCGCUUCUCAGUCGACCAAGCGCCCUCGGACCACUUCUCCGGCGCCGACUGAGAAGGCUCCGAAGCAAUCUCGAGUGGCACCGUCGAAGCCUGCAAAGGUCUUGCCGAAGAUGAAGAUGGUGAUCCCCACUAUCUCAGGGUAAUGGUAGUUUUGAGCUUUCCCUGUUUCAUGAACUUGUUCUUGGUCGACUCAUGGUCCAAUCGACUGACUUUUGGAACUGCAGCGUUGCUACUUCCGACACUUCGGCGAGAGCCGAAGACCACGAGAUGGAGGAUGCUGCAACCUCGAACCCUGGUAUGACUCCUGCGUUGCCGUUUUCAGUCGACUGACUCAUUGUCUCUAAUUUUUAUUCUUUCUGCAGUUUCAUCUAACAUUGUUAUUGACCUUCCUGACGACGACGAUGAAUAACCACCACGGCCGAGGAAAAGCAAGAAAACGUCGGCUGGCAAGGCGACUCAGGAUGUGCCGGCACCCGAGACGUUAGUCGUGGAGGGAGACAAUGUCACUCGACCCACCGUAACCUUCGCGGUGCCGUUGAUGAGUGCUCGCCCUUCAUCGUCGAGUGCUGCUCAACCCUCGCUUUUCUCCACCUACCCCGUUCCAGAAGACCAAGCCAGUGCUGCCAAAGAAGCGAUACGCCAGGCGGGGGUCAUGAUGGAGCAAGUGAAGGCAAUUCGAGAAGCCAGCCAGGCAGCCUAUGACGCCAGUUCGGCACUCCAGAGUAAUGUUCAGGUCAGUCGGUCACUGCCUGUUCUUCUUUCUGAAAUUCCUAGAGUCUGUCCUACACCCAGUGGGUGUGUGUCGAUUAAAAUUCCGGGUUAGUGGGGGCACGCUGAGUGCACCCACUGGGUGUAGUCCCCAAGGCUAUGGUGGACUGCUGGCAGUCGACCAUAGUCUUAAUGCUUUGAGUUUUUCUUUACUCGACAAGGUCGAAUAGAUUCAUAGACCGGUGGGGGCACGCUGAGUGCACCCACUGGGUGUAGUCCCCGAGACUGUGGUCGACUGCUGGCAGUUGACUAUAGUCUAAAGAACAUUGCCUCUCUUUUUUUUGUUGGUCGACUAGUCGACUCUUGAUGAAACUAGUGGGGGCACGCUGAGUGCACCCACUGGGUGUAGUCCCCGAGACUAUGGUCGAAUGUUUGCAUUCGACCGUAGUCUUAGAAACGCUAUGAUUUUUCCUUACUCACUCGGAAGUGAAUUUUCUUUGACGUCUGUCGAUUGAUUCUUCGUAGAAAUCAUGUGACCUUGUGGCUCGUUAUACUGAGUUGGAGAACAAACACAUUCAGCUCGAGCUCGAUCUGAAACUGGCCCAAGAGACCUUGACGAAGGCGAAGGAGGAAGCUAAAGGUAUGCUUGGUGAGGCCUUUGACGACUGCCUUUGCCUCUCACUUGUUUCCGAAUCUGAUCUCACUGUAACUUUGUAGGCAAAGUGAUGGACGCCCUGAAGAAACAAGAGCUUGACUUGGCUGAGAUGCAAAAGACUGCUUUAGAGAAGACCAGGCUAGCGGAUGAGAAGCUGGCUUCAGUGACUAAGCUUGAAGAAGAAAACACCAAUCUGAAAGCUGCUCUUGAUGCUGCCAACCAGGAGGUCACUUAACUGAAAAGCGACAAGACCACCCUGAAUGACAAGGCCAGUGAGUUGAAGAGAAAGAAGAAUGAUCUAGAGGCUUAUCUGGGUGGACUCGCCAAGAAGUUGUUCCUCAUGCUUGAAGGUAAUCCUUUGUAUCGAACAAAUAUUUUAAUUGUAACCUCUGACUGUUUGUCUUGACUCGGUGGUUGUGCUUGCAGAAUUUUGUCAGAACUUUGAAGAGGAGACUGGUCGACUGGAAGUGAACCUGGACCCCAUCAACUCUCCUGUGAAAGAUGAAGUUGCCAUGAACAUGCUCCGACUUGAAUCUCGUGUUGCUGCUAUCAUCGAUUAUCUCGCAAGGCUGAAGGUCGCAACUUCCUGCAUCGACACAACACUCUGGCCAAGAGAGACACUCCAGAACGACCUCGAGUCUCUGAUGACUCGACUGAACGAGGUCCCAAGUCGAGUGCAGGAGUGGAAGAAGUCUUCGGCCAGGUGUGGCGCGGAUGUUGCUCUAUCUCUGGUCCGCGUUCACUGCAAGGAUGCAUGAGAGGACAAGCUGGUGGCUCUCAGGGUGGCCAACACCAAGAAGCACGAUUUCAGAUCCUUCAUGGAGACCUUCAUUGCCGCUGCCACUCGGAUUGCAGAUGGAAUCGAUCUGGACGAGUUUGUGGCACCUUCCAGCCCUCCACAGGAGGGGUAAAAAACUUUUGAGCUUGAUACUUUAAAUUUGCCUCGGUAUGCCGAGUGAGUUUUGUAACCGACAAACCUUAACAGGCCUAGCGCCUGAGCACUUUCGGUUCCGCUAGGUGUUAUCCAAACUUGGGUUCGUCGCUGAAUAUGUUUGCAUUUGGUUUGAGGCGUCUUUUGCAGGUUAAAGCGAAGCGCUUAUUGCCAUCGACUUGUCCCCCAAUUCACUUAGGCGGGCACUGGGCUGCAGCUAAGUCCCCGAGCGAGAGGUUUUCCCUCCACUCGGUAGGAUUUCAGACACUUAGGCGAGCACUGGGCCGCAGCUAAGCCCCCGAGUGGGAGGUCUGCUCUCCACUCGGUAGGAUUUCAGAAACUUAGGCGAGCACUGGGCUGCAGCUAAGCCCCCGAGUGGGAGGUCUGCUCUCCACUCAGUAGGAUUUCAAACACUUAGGCGAGCACUGGGCUGCAGCUAAGCCCCCGAGUGGGAGGUCUGCUCUCCACUCGGUAGGAUUUCAGACACUUAGGCGAGCACUGGGCUGCAGCUAAGCCCCCGAGUGGGAGGUCUACUCUCCACUCGGUAGGAUUUCAGACNNNNNNNNNNNNNNNNNNNNNNNNNNNNNNNNNNNNNNNNNNNNNNNNNNNNNNNNNNNNNNNNNNNNNNNNNNNNNNNNNNNNNNNNNNNNNNNNNNNNNNNNNNNNNNNNNNNNNNNNNNNNNNNNNNNNNNNNNNNNNNNNNNNNNNNNNNNNNNNNNNNNNNNNNNNNNNNNNNNNNNNNNNNNNNNNNNNNNNNNNNNNNNNNNNNNNNNNNNNNNNNNNNNNNNNNNNNNNNNNNNNNNNNNNNNNNNNNNNNNNNNNNNNNNNNNNNNNNNNNNNNNNNNNNNNNNNNNNNNNNNNNNNNNNNNNNNNNNNNNNNNNNNNNNNNNNNNNNNNNNNNNNNNNNNNNNNNNNNNNNNNNNNNNNNNNNNNNNNNNNNNNNNNNNNNNNNNNNNNNUAAGCCCCCGAGUGGGAGGUCUGCUCUCCACUCGGUAGGAUUUCAGACACUUAGGCGAGCACUGGGCUGCAGCUAAGCCCCCGAGUGGGAGGUCUGCUCUCCACUCGGUAGGAUUUCAGAAACUUAGGCGAGCACUGGGCUGCAGCUAAGCCCCCGAGUGGGAGGUCUGCUCUCCACUCGGUAGGAUUUCAAACACUUAGGCGAGCACUGGGCUGCAGCUAAGCCCCCGAGUGGGAGGUCUGCUCUCCACUCGGUAGGAUUUUUGAAUUGGUGGCGCAACUCGGAAGGAGAGGGUAGCAGUCGACCUGCACCUCGUCCUCCUUGCGGAACGCAUGUUGUACUUGUACUUAGGCGAGUUCUUGGACUGCAGCUAGGCCUCCGAGUGGAAGGCUGGCUUACCACUCGGUAGGAUUUUAUUUAUCUUAGGCGAGUACUUGGACUGCAGCUAAGCCUCCGAGUGGAAGGCUGGCUUACCACUCGGUAGGAUUUUAUUUAUCUUAGGCGAGUACUUGGACUGCAGCUAAGCCUCCGAGUGGAAGGCUGGCUUACCACUCGGUAGGAUUUUAUUUAUCUUAGGCGAGUACUUGGACUGCAGCUAAGCCUCCGAGUGGAAGGCUGGCUUACCACUCAGUAGGAUUUUAUUUAUCUUAGGCGAAACGGAUUUUACAGCUAAGCCUUCGUGUGGGAGACUGACUCACCACUCGGUUAGGAUUUGUUUUUACAGACUUAGGCGAAUCGGAUUCGCAGCUAAGCCACCCACUGGGGGAUUGUUUUAUAUGGACAAAAGUAAUAACAAUCACUGGGAAAACUAUAAAGCUCUUGUCUUUGAUAAAUAAACUACAGGAGUACUUUUAUUACAACUCAUCCGAGUGAAUACCUAAGUGUAAAAGGGGCGGAGAAGCUCCGCGUUCCAAGCUCGGGGCUCGUCAAUCUGAUGCUUGACAUUGUAAAGACGGUAUGCUCCAUUGUGGAGAACCUUGGUGACCAUGAAGGGACCUUCCCAAGAAGGAGCAAGCUUGUGUGGUUUCUGCUGGUCCACUCGGAGAACUAAAUCUCCUUCCUGGAAGGCUCGACUCUUCAUGUUUUUGGCGUGGAAGCGACGCAAGUCUUGUUGAUAAAUGGUCGAUCUGAUCAGAGCCAUCUCUCUUUCUUCCUCUAAAAGGUCGACUGCGUCCUGCCGCGCUUGUUCUGCUUCAGCUUCGGUGUAGAGCUCGACUCGGGGAGCGUUGUGGAGAAGAUCACUCGGCAAGACUGCUUCAGCUCCGUAGACCAAGAAGAAUGGAGUUCUUCCAGUCGACCGGUUGGGUGUGGUCCUUAACCCCCAAAGCACCGAGGGAAGUUCGUCAACCCAUGCACCAGCCGCAUGCUUGAGAUCACGCAUCAAACGGGGCUUCAACCCUUUGAGAAUUAAACCGUUGGCUCAUUCUGCCUGUCCAUUCGUCUGCGGAUGGGCAACUGAAGCAUAGUCGACUCGCGUGCCUUGAGACGUGCAGAAAGCUCUGAAUUCUUCAGAAUCGAAGUUUGACCCGUUAUCAGUGAUGAUGUUGUGCGGGACUCCAUAUCUAAAUAUCAGUUCUCGGAUGAAGCUGACAGCGGUACCAGCAUCGAGGUUCUUGAUGGGUUUGGCCUUAAUCCACUUGGUAAACUUGUCGACUGCUACCAGCACAUGUGUGAAACCGCUUCUUCCUGUUCUCAAUGGGCCAACCAUAUCCAAACCCCAUACAACAAAGGGCCAGACAAGUGGUAUGGUCUUUAAGGCUGAGGCAGGCUUGUGUGACAUAUUGGAGUAAAAUUGACAUCCCUCACACUUGUCGACUAUCUCCUUCGCCAUUUCAUUCGCUCUGGGCCAAUAAAAACCAGCUCGGUAUGCUUUGGCCACGAUGGUCCGAGAAGACGCAUGAUGGCCACAGGUCCCCGAGUGGAUGUCAUUGAGAAUCAUUCGACCUUCCUCCGGUGUUAUGCAUUUCUGGCUGACUCCAGUCGCACUUUCUCUGUACAACUGACCUCUCAUGACGGUGAAGGCUUUGGACCGGCGGACGAUCUCUCGAGCUUCUUCUUCAUUCUCGGGGAGUUCCUUCCUCAAAAUAUAGGCGAUGUAGGGCACUGUCCAAUCGGGAGUGAUGACCAAAACUUCCAUGAUCAAGUCGACCACCGCUGGGACCUCGACUUCAGUCGGAUCUGUGGCGCUUUUAGGCUGCGGGGCUUCUGCAGUGAAAGGAUCCUCUUGAACCGAUGGCGUGUAGACAUGUUCCAAAAACACGCCACUCGGAAUGGCUUCCCUCUUGGAACCUAUCUUUGCCAAGUCAUCGGCUGCUUGAUUUUUCAGUCGGGGAACGUGAUGGAGUUCUAACCCUUCGAAUUUCUUUUCAAGCUUCCUCACUGCAUUGCAGUAUCUAGUCAUGGAUGGGCUUCUCACGUCCCACUCCUUCAUCACCUGAUUGACCACCAAAUCUGAGUCGCCGUAAACCAUAAGGCGACGGACGCUGAGUGAAAUGUCCAUGCGCAACCCAUACAACAGUGCUUCAUAUUCUGCUUCAUUGUUGGAGGAAUCAAAGUGGAUCUGGAGCACAUAUCUGAGCUUAUCUCCUCGGGGAGAAACCAAAACUACCCCAGCACCAGAACCAUUUAACAUCUUAGAGCCAUCAAAGAACAUGGUCCAAUGCUCCGAGUGAACUUGAGUCGGCUGCUGCUGUUCAAUCCACUCGGCAAGGAAAUCUGCUAUAGCCUGGGACUUAAUGGCUUUCUUUGCCUCGAAUUUGAUAUCAAGGGGAAGGAGUUCAAUCGCCCAUUUAGCCACUCGACCAGUUGCAUCUCUGUUGUGCAGAAUCUCCGACAAUGGUGCGUCGCUGACGACUAUAAUGUCAUGAUCAGAGAAAUAAUGAGCAACCUUCUUCAUGGUCAUGUAGAUCCCAUAUACGAGCUUCUGAUAAUGAGGAUAUCUUUGCUUCGAUCGGGUCAAAACUUUAGAGAGAUAAUACACUGGGCGCUGAACUUUGAAGGCUUUCCCUUCUACUUCCCGCUCGACCGUAAGUAUUGUACUGACGACUUGUCCUGUGGCUGCAAUAUAAAGCAACAGUGGCUCUUUACUGAUUGGAGCGGCAAGCACCGGCUAGGUGGAGAGCAGAGUUUUUAACUCGGCAAACGCUGCAUCAGCUUUUGGAGUCCACUCGAACUUGUCUGCCUUCUUCAUCAGUCGGUAAAGGGGCAACGCCUUUUCACCGAGGCGAGAGAUGAAUCGACUUAACGCGGCCAGGCAUCCAGUAAGCUUCUGGACAUCGUGCACACGCACAGGGCGUUUCAUUCGGAGUAUGGUGCCAACUUUUUCUGGGUUAGCAUCGAUUCCUCGUUCCGAAACGAGAAAACCGAGUAACUUCCCACCAGGUACUCCGAAUGUGCACUUUGAAGGAUUGAGCUUGAUAUCAUACCUCCUGAGAUUGGCAAAUGUUUCAGCUAAGUUAGUCAACAGGUCGGAACCCUUUCGCGACUUGACCACGAUAUCAUCCAUGUAUGCUUCCACAUUCCAACUAAUUUGAGUGAGUAAACACUUUUGAAUCAUUCUCAUGAAUGUGGCUCCGGCAUUCUUGAGGCCGAAAGGCAUGGUGAUAUAGCAGAAGCACCCGAAUGGGGUGAUGAAAGCUGUUUUGAUUUCAUCGGGCCCAUACAGACGGAUCUGAUGAUACCCGGAAUAAGCGUCCAGAAAAGACAAUCUCUCGCACCCUGCGGUCGAGUCGACAAUUUGGUCGACGCGAGGGAGAGGAAAAUGAUCUUUCGGGUAGGCCUGAUUGAUAUGUUUGAAAUCAAUGCACAUACGAAGGGAAUUGUCCUUUUUGCGAACCAUAACGACAUUGGCGAGCCACUCGGAGUGGUAUAUCUCUCGGAUGAACUCUGCUGCAAGGAGUCGAGCCACCUCUUCGCCAAUGGCUUUUUUGUUCUGAACAGCGGACCGUCGAAGAUGUUCUUUAACGAGUUUUGCCUUUGAAUCGACUCUAAGGCGAUGCUCAGCCAGUCCCCUGGGAACACCUGGCAUGUCAGCUGGCUUCCAUGCGAAGAUGUCCCAGUUCUCACGGAGGAACUGGAUGAGCGCUUCUUCCUAUUUAGAGUCGGGUGUAGUGGAAAUAUGGGUCGGAGCUGCAUUGGGGUCAGUCGGGUGGAUGUGAACUGGCUUCGUCUCACCGGACGACUGAAAUGCUGACUCUGUGGCGGGCUUCUUGGCUCGCAGUAAAUCACUCGGAUCUGCGUUCUUCUUGUACCCCUCUAGCUCUAUCACUGUUAUCUGGUCAUCCGCAAUCUUUGAGCCUUUCUGGAAACACUCUUCUGCUUUCUUCCGGUUACCAGUGACGGUGAUCACGCCUUUGGGGCCAGGCAUCUUUAACUUGAGGUACACGUAACAUGGUCGAUCCAUGAAGCGGGCGUAGGCUGGUCUUCCCAAGAUAGUGUGGUAGGCGCUCUGGAAAUCCACGAUUUCAAAUGUCAGCUUCUCUUUGCGGAAAUGCUUCGAGUCACCGAACACCACAUCCAGAGCUAUUUGGCCGAGUGACUCAGCCUUCUUUCCUGGGAUGACUCCGUGAAAACUCAUGUUGCUGGAACUGAGCCUGGACAUCGGAAUGCCCAUUCCCUUGAGCGUCUCUGCAUAUAGUAUGUUCAACCCGCUGCCGCCAUUCAUCAAUACCUUCGUCAGUCGAGUGCCUUCGACGACCGGGUCGGCCACCAGUGCUUGCCUCCCAGGGGUGGCAAUAUGAGUAGGAUGGUCCGACUGGUCGAAAGUAAUGGGAGUUUGCGACCAUCUCAGAUAGUUUGGUGUUGCUGGUGCGACCAUAUUGACUUCACGGUUGAUCACUUUCAGUCGACUUUUGCUCUCUACAUCAGCAAAAAUCAUCAGAGUGAAGUUGACAUGAGGGUACUCACCAUCACUGUCCUGCUUGUCCUCAGCCUUGUCUGACUCCUUCUCUUUGUCCUUCAGCUGUUUCCCUUGGAACUGCUGGAUUAAGAGCCGGCACUGGCGAGUGGUAUGCUUUGGGUAGAUGAAGUUACCCUCUUCGUCUUUCUUCGUGUGGAUAUGACACGGCAGGUCCAUCACAUCAUUACCCUCCUUAUCUUUUACCUUCUUGGGGUUCCAAGAUCCUUUGGGCUUCCCUUUAAAUUUGCCCUGUGUCACGGCUAGAGCCUCUCCAGGAGCUGCUGGCUCGGCCUUCCGCUUCUGCUUCCGACUGGAGUUUCCUUUAUCCGACUAACUCGGCUUGUACUUGCCGCUCCGGAGUCGGUCCUCUUCUUCGCCGUUGGCGUACUUGGUGGCUAUUUCCAUCAUCCGACUCAGGGUCAUGUCUCCAGUUCGACCAAACUUCAGGCUCAACUCUUUGUUCUUGACGCCAUCUUUGAAGGCGCAAACCGCUUGAUGGUCCGACACAUUCUCUACAGUGUGAUGCAAAGUGAUCCACCUCUGGAUGUAAUCCCUCAGUGUUUCACUCGACUUUUGUACACAAACUUGUAGCUCAGUUAAUCCAGCAGGUCGCUUGCAAGUUCCCUCAAACGUCCUGACGAACACUCGAGAAAGAUCUACCCAGGUGUAAAUGUUGCUGGGAGCUAACUGAUUCAACCAUGCCCUGGCUGAACCUCCUAGAAUAAGUGGCAAAUGUUUCAUGGCCACCUCAUCAUUACCGCCACCAAUCUGAACAGCCACUCGGUAGUCUUCGAGCCAAGUUUCAGGCUUAGACUCUCCGGUGAACUUAUUCACCCCAUUCGCCAACCUGAAGUUGGGGGGUAUCACUGCGGUUCUGAUCGCUCUGCGAAAACAUUCUGGACCUGAAACAUGGACUCGGCUGCUUGUGGGCACAUCUCUGUCAUGACCACCUCUAUGAGCUCUGUUUCAGUCGACCAAACCUUGCACGAUGAUGGAUCUCGCGUCAAAGCCUGGCUCUCUGGGGUCGACUGGAGCUCUCUGCCCAACACUGAGCUGGCUUCUAUCAUCUUGCUGCCGAUGGGCGUUAGACCCACUUCUCGGAGGAGGAGUGGGCACUCGACGCCUGUCAUCACGAUCAAAUCGAUCAUCAUAGUGGUCCCGCCGGCCUUCACGUCCCACGCGCCUCGGAGGCGACCUUGGACUGUCAGCUGACUGAAUAGUAUUCGCAGCAACAGAUCGACUGUGAAUCCUGUUAGGUGACUGUGACACAGCUGAAUUCUGAUCUCCUGCUGCCCGGAGCAAAUCUCUGAUCUGCAUCAAGCCUCUUCCAGCCUCUGACUGAGAGGGCUGAAUUGACUCUGCUAUGCGGGCUGCAGCUGCCAAAUUCUGAAUUGGGGUUCGAUAUACCUGAGUUGGUUGCGGAAAGAGCUGACGUCGAUUGGAGUUAGUCGCUCGUUGACGCGCAUGCUCGUCGAGUGCUCGCUGAAGGUUCUCCAGUCGAGUGUGUUCAGCCAGGUUGGCUAAACGCGCCUCUUCCAGGGCACGAGCCUCAGGAGUUUCUCCUGCAAUGGGAGUAUGCAGGGCAUCCAUGUUCUGGCGGCGAAGUUCUUCCCUCUGCUGGGAAGUGAGCGGCUCGGGUUGGUACUCUUCAUGGGCUUGAGCAGGGUCAUCCUCGUCGUCCAUCCCGUCGCCACGGGGGAAACCGGGAGGACUACGGGGCCCAUUGACCAUCAGGACCUCCGCCGUCGGAUCACUGCUAUCGCACUCGGAUGCAGCCUCUACAGAGCCAGUCGACAGGUCGAAUAGGCCGUAGAGAGAUCCGUCAGGCUCAAUCGCCGCGACUUGGGUGGUGGCCGAUUGGCGAGCCACUGCGUGUCUCACCCAUCGCUGGAGCCUCAACCGACCGGAGCGCUUGCGCUGGCGGGAGACAGGGAGGGAGGACGGCGCAGGAGUCGACCGGUAUGGGGUCGACGGCUGCCGCAGCAAGACGCUGCGGACACACACCCGAAAGUGCAUCGCCCCGCGGACGGGGAGCGCUCCGAUGUCGAGUGGUGCCUCCUGGAGCCAAGCGGAGUCGUCGGCGAUGAAAGUGAGCGCACCGAGACGGAUCUCGUGGCCCUCGACCAGAGCUCUGCCAGAAACCAUGAUGAAGGCGAUCGGACAAAUUGCAACUUCUCCAAAAAAGUCGCUAAGACACCUGCCCCACGGUGGGCGCCAACUGUCGUGGUUCUAAGUCUGACAGUAGAAUGGGGGGUAAGUAUGGAAAGGCAAGGUCCUAGCUAUGGAGUAGUUGUACACACGGGUGUUUAGCGAGUUCAGGCCCUUCUCUGAGGAAGUAACAGCCCUACGUCUCGGAGCCCGGAGGCGGUCGACUGAUCUCUGUGUAUAUGAGUUACAGGGGUGCGAAACUUUCUACCAGUGGAGGGGGGUGGCUUAUAUAGAGGACGCCAGGACCCCAGCCAGCCCACGUAGGGGGGGUAAAAGUACAUUAAGGCUGGGCGUUAUUGGUAACGCCCUACAUAAAGUGUCAUCAUGACCAUUAAGACUAUUUAAUUACAAACCGUUUGGAUGCAGAGUAGAUCCUGAACUUCCGAUAGUCGAGUGCGUCUUCAUGGUCGAGUGUCUUCUAGCCGGUCGAGUGGAGUCUCCCUUGGUCGAGUGGAGCUUCUUUUGGUCGACUGGAAGGUAGCUUCAUAUGAUAAUGUCCUUGGGCAUGGUAUCCUAGAUAGGUCCAUGACCCUACCCUAGGUACAUAACCUCAUCAGUGACCCCGUGGACGAAAAAGGUCUGAACAUUUUUCUGAUUUGCACACACCCUGUCGAUCCUGGACACACCAGAAAAGGCCAAUCUUUUUUAUUUAGCUGCCUAUGUUUUUACACAAAACUAUGAAGAACAUAGAGGGCAGCUUUGGGUCACGGAAAAAACUUAUACUGUGUGCAAAAGAAAUCAUGAUUUCAGCAGCACUGAAUAUGUACAGCAAAGGUCGAAACAAUUUAUCAAAAAAUGUGUCUGUGUUUCAUUCUUCCGCAAUACAAUAAGAAGUCCACCACUAAAGCUUUUUCCUCCUCCACAAGUAAAGUCCCUUAUCCUCCGGUCGGCGUCGCCGUCGGUCCGCCCCAUCUCUGAUGGCCUCUGGGCCAUGGAGUCGCCGAGGAUCCCAGCCCUUGUUCUCCUCCUUGUUAGAUUUAGCGUCUUGGUUGGGGUUGGGUGGAGGCGGCGAUGUCCCUUAAUAGGAAUAAUGUAUGAUUGGUUAUCUUUGUAAGUAUCUUCGAGUUAUCAGUUUGGUUUGGCCUACUAGAUUUAUCUUUCUUGCAAUGUUAGAAGUGCUUAGCUUUGGGUUCAAUCUUGCGGUGUCCUUUCCCAGUGACAGCAGGGGCAGCAAGGCACGUAUUGUAUUGUUGUCAUCGAGGAUAAAAAGAUGGGGUUUAUAUCAUAUUGCUUGAGUUUAUCCCUCUACAUCAUGUCAUCUUGCCUAAUGUGUUACUUUGUUCUUAUGAAUUUAAUACUCUAUAUGCAAGCUGGAUAGCGGUCAAUGUGUGGAGUAAUAGUAGUAAAUGCAGGCACGAGUCGGUCUACUUGUCGUGGACGUGAUGCCUUGAUACGUCUCCAACGUAUCUAUAAUUUUUUAUUGUUCCAUGCUAUUAUAUUACCCGUUUUGGAUGUUUAUGGACUUUACUUUACACUUUUAUAUUAUUUUUGGGACUAACCUACUAACCGGAGACCCAACCCGUAUUGCUGUUUUUUUUGCCUAUUUCAGUGUUUUGAAGAAAAGGAAUAUCAAACAGAGUCCAAACGGAAUGAAACCUUCAGGAGCGUGAGUUUUGGAACAAACGUGAUCCAAGGGACUUGGAGUGCAAGUCAAGAAGCAAUCGAGGCGGCCACCAGGGUGGAGGGCGCCCCCUAUCUCGUGGGCCCCUCGGGCGUCCACCGACCUACUUCUUCCUCCUAUAUAUACCCACGUACCACGAGAACAUCAAAGGCGACCACGAAAAACUAUUUCCACCACCGUAACCUUCUGUAUUCACGAGAUCCCAUCUUGGAGCCUUCGUCAUUGCUCCAUCGGAGAGGGAAUCAACCAUGGAGGGCUUCUACAUCAACACCAUAGCCUCUCCAAUUAGUUGUGAGUAGUUUACCACAGACCUUCGGGUCCAUAGUUAUUAGCUAGAUGGCUUCUUCUCUCUCUUUGAAUCUCAAUAUCAUGUUCUCCUCGAUCUUCUUGGAGAUCUAUACGGUGUAACUCUUUUUGCGAUGUGUUUGUCUCGAUCCGAUGAAUUGUGGGUUUAUGAUCAAGUUUAUCUAUGAGAAAUAUUUGAAUCUCCUCUGAAUUCUUUUAUGUGUGAUUAAGUUAUCUUUGCAAGUCUCUUCAAAUUAUCAGUUUGGUUUGGCCUACUAGAUUGAUCUUUCUUGCAAUGGGAGAAGUUCUUAGCUUUGGGUUCAAUCUUGCGGUGUCCUUUCCCAGUGACAGCAGGGGCAGCAAGGCAUGUAUUGUAUUGUUGUCAUCGAGGAUAAAAAGAUGGGGUUCAUAUCAUAUUGCAUGAGUUUAUCCCUCUACAUCAUGUCAUCUUUCUUAAUGCGUUACUCUGUUAUUUAUGAACUUAAUACUCUAGAUGCAUGCUGGAUAGCGGUCGAUGUGUGGAGUAAUAGUAGUAGAUGCAGGCAGGAGUCGGUCUACUUGUUAUGGACGUGAUGCCUAUAUACAUGAUCAUGCCUAGAUAAUCUCAUAAUUAUUUGCUUUUCUAUCAAUUGCUCGACAGUAAUUUGUUCACCCACCGUAAUACUUAUGCUAUCUUGAGAGAAGCCACUAGUGAAACCUAUGGCCCCCGGGUCUAUCUUUUAUCAUAUAAGCUUUCAAUCUACUUUUAUUUGCAUCUUUACUUUUCCAAUCUAUAUUAUAAAAUACCAAAAAUAUAUUUAUCUUAUCAUACUAUCUCUAUCAGAUCUCACUUUCGUAAGUGGCCGUGAAGGGAUUGACAACCCCGUUAUUGCGUUGGUUGCGAGUUCUUGUUUGUUUGUGUAGGUGCGUCGGACUUUUGAGGAGCCUCCUACUGGAUUGAUACCUUGGUUCUCAAAAACUGAGGGAAAUACUUACGCUACUAUUGUUGCAUCACCCUUUCCUCUUCAAAGAAAACCAACGCAAGCUCAAGACGUAGCAUGCCUAUAUACAUGAUCAUGCCUAGAUAUUCUCAUAACUAUGCACUUUUCUAUCAACUGCUCGACAGUAAUUUGUUCACCCGCCGUAAUAUUUAUGCUAUCUUGAGAGAAGCCACUAGUGAAACCUAUGGCCCCGGGUCUAUUUUCCAUCAUAUAAGUUUCCGAUCUACUUUAUUUAGCAAUCUUUACUUUUCAAUCUAUAUCAUAAAAAUACCAAAAAUAUUUAUCUUAUUAUUAUCUCUAUCAUAUCUCACUUUCGCAAGUGGCCGUGAAAAGAUUGACAACCCCUUUAUCGCGUUGGUUGCGAGGUUCUUGUUUGUUUAUGUAGGUACGAGGGACUUGCGUGUAGCCUCCUACUGGAUUGAUACCUUGGUUUUCAAAAGUUGAGGGAAAUACUUACGCUACUUUGCUGCAUCACCCUUUCCCGCUUCAAGGGAAAACCAACGCAGUGCUCAAGAGGUAGCAAGAAGGAUUUCUGGCGCCGUUGCCGGGGAGGUCUACGCACAAGUCAAGACAUACCAAGUACCCAUCACAAACUCUUCUCCUCGCAUUACAUUAUUUUCCAUUUGCCUCUUGUUUUCCUUUCCCCCACUUCACCCUUGCCGUUUUAUUCGCGCUCCCUUUCCCGUUCGCCUCUUUUUCCGCUUGCUUCUUGUGGUACUUGCUUUCACUAUGUCUGAAACUGGGGAGGUUAUCAUUGAUAAGGACAAUAGUAAUAACAUGGGAAACUUUGAUGCUUUUGAUGAUCCUACUGAAGAAACCACUAUCUUACAUACUAAAAGAUUUCGAAUCGGUAGUGGUAAUAUUAUUGGAAAAGGGGUUAUUCAAGAUUCUUUACUUGUGUUGGUGCUUUACCUUCUAUGGGUGGAUCUAUUCUUCAUAGAACUAGUAGUCUUGCGGAUGCUAUAUCCUUGCUUAUAGUUGAACUUGAAAGACAGUUUAUGCAUAUGCAUCCUUGCAUACAAAGGAUUUUUCUAGAAUUUUCCAAUAUUGAGCAUUCUUCUGUUAAGCGCGCAGCUACUAUCUUUUUGGCACAUGAGUUCAGAUUUAUAAUAAAAGAAGCCAGAGAAAUCUUUGCGCACUAUAGGGUGGACGCUGGUCGCCCUCCCAUUUAGGCGAUCCUUUUUAAUCAAGAAGACAUAAUGCGUUUACAAUCCUUAGAUCGUGUUGCUUUUAAUGAAAACCUUAGGAAAAAGGUUCCUACCGAUGUUCUAGUUGAUAGAAUCUCUGAACUUAAUGAUGAUUUUGCUAUUCAUAACAAUGGGUUGGGAUUUUCUCUUGAGCAAAGGCUCAUGACUUUUUGCCAAAAGAAUGCUUAUAAUGAUGAAUUGGUUGUGUAAUAUGAAGGGCCAAAGGAGGAACCCAUACCUCCCGAGCUUGAUCUUGGGGACUUUUGUCCCAUUAAAUUUAGCCCUUUUGAUUACUUUUGCUUGCCACAAAGAAAACUUGUUGUUGAACGUAGGGAAUAUGAGAUGAGUUUUCGUGAUUUACCUUAUCAUUACGGCAAUAAUUAGAUCUAUUCUCGCUUUUAUGCCUAGCUAGGGGCGUUAAACGAUAGCGCUUGUUGGGAGGCAACCCAAUUUUAUUUUUGUUCUUUACUUUUUGCUCCUGUUUAGUAUUAAAUAAUUCAUCUAGCCUCUGGUUAGAUGUGGUUUUAUGUUUUAGUUAGUGUUUGUGCCAAAUAGAACCUAUAGGAUCAUCUUGGGUGAUAGUUAAUUUGAUCUUGCUAAAAAACAGAAACUUUUGCGCACACGAGAAUAAUUUUAAUAAAUCACAGAAACAUGAUUUUGAGUUGAUUAUUUUUUAAGAAGAUUAAUAGACAAAUUUACUAGGACUUCCUAUUUUCGUAGGACUUUUAAGGUUCUAGAAGUAUUCGAAAGUUACAGAUUACUACAGACUGUUCUGUUUUUGACAGAUUCUGUUUUUUGUGUGUUGUUUGCUUAUUUUGAUGAAUCUAUGGCUAGUAUCGGGGGGUAUGAACCAUAGAUAAGUUGGAAUACUGCAGGUUUAACACCAAUAUAAAUAAAGAAUGAUUUCAUUACAGUACCUUAAAGUGGUGGUUUGCUUUUUUGCACUAACGGAGCUCAUGAGAUUUUUUGUUGAGUUUUGUGUUGUGAAGUUUUCAAGUUUUGGGUAAAGAUUUGAUGGAUUAUGGAAUAAGGAGUGGCAAGAGCCUAAGCUUGGGUAUGCUCAAGGCACCCCAAGAUAAAUUCAAGGACAACCAAAAGCCUAAGCUUGGGGAUGCCCCGGAAGGCAUCCCCUUGUCUUCAUCUAUCAGUAACUUUACUUGGAGCUAUAUUUUUAUUCACCACAUGAUAUGUGUUUUGCUUGGAGCGUCUUGAAUGAUAUGAGUCUUUGAUUUUUAGUUUACCACAAUCAUCCUUGCUGUACACACAUUUUGGGAGAGACACACAUGAAUCGGAAUUUAUUAGAAUACUCUAUGUGCUUCACUUAUAUCUUUUGAGCUAGAUAAUUUUGCUCUAGUGCUUCACUUAUAUCUUUUUAGAGCACGGCGGUGGUUUUAUUUUGUAGAAAUUAUUGAUCUCUCAUGCUUCACUUAUAUUAUUUUGAGAGUCUUUUAGAACAGCAUGGUAUUUGCUUUGGUUAUAAAAUUAGUCCUAAUAUGAUGGGCAUCCAAGUUGGGUAUAAUAAAAAUUGUCAUAGAAAGUGCAUGAAACACUAUAAGAAAUUUGAUACUUGAUAAUUGUUUUGAGAUAUAAAGGUGGUAAUGUUAGAGUCAUGCUAGUUGGGUAAUUAUGAAAUUGAGAAAUACUUGUGUUAAAGUUGGCAAGUCCCGUAGCAUGCACGUAUGGUAAACGUUGUGUGACAAAUGUGUUGCACGGGGUGUUCUUUUGAUUGCCUUCCUUAUGUGUGGAGGUCGGGAUCGCGCGAUGGUUAACUCCUACCAACCCUUCCCCUAGGAGCAUGCGUAGUAGUACUUUGCUUCGAGGGCUAAUAAACUUUUGCAAUAAGUAUAUGAGUUCUUUAUGACUAAUGUGAGCCCAUGGAUUAUACGCACUCUCACCCUUCCACCAUUGCUAGCCUCUCUUGUGCCGCGCAACUUUCGCCAGUAUCAUACACCCACCAUUUACCUUCCUCAAAACAGCCACCAUACCUACCUAUUAUGGAAUUUCUAUAGCCAUUCCAAGAUAUAUUGCCAUGCAACUCUCCACCGUUCCGUUUAUUAUGACACGCUCCAUCAUUGUCAUAUUGCUUUUGCAUGAUCAUGUAGUUGACAUCGUAUUUGUGGCAAAGCUACCGUUAUAAUUCUUUCAUACAUGUCACUCUUGAUUCAUUGCAUAUCCUGGUACACCGCUGGAGGCAUUCACAUAGAGUCAUAUUUUGUUCUAAGUAUUGACUUGUAAUUCUUGAGUUGUAAAUCAAUAAAAGUGUGAUGAUCUUCAUUAUUAGAGCAUUGUCCCAAGUGAGGAAAGGAUGAUGGAGACUAUGAUUCCCCCACAAGUCACUAUGAGACUCCGGACCUCAUGAUAAAUAAAAGAGGCCAAAGAAGCCCAAAUAAAAAAGAGAGGCCAAAGAAGCCCACCCAAAAAAAUGAGAGAAAAAGAGAGAAGGGACAUUGUUACUAUGCUUUUUCCAGACUUGUGCUUCAAAGUAGCACCAUGAUCCUCAUGGUAGAGUCUCCUAUGUUGUCACUUUCAUAUACUUGUGGGAAUUUUUCAUUAUAGAACUUGGCUUGUAUAUUACAAUGAUGGGCUUCCUCAAAAUGCCCUAGGUCUUUGUGAGUAAGCGAGUUGGAUGCACACCCACUUAGUUUCUUUUGUUGAGCUUUCACACAUUUAUAGCUCUAGUGCAUCUGUUGCAUGGCAAUCCCUACUCACUCACGUUGAUAUCUAUUAAUGGGCAUCUCCAUAGGCCGUUGAUACGCCUAGUCAAUGUGAGACUUUCUCCUUUUUUGUCUUCUCCACACAACCUCCAUCAUCAUAUUCUAUUCCACCCAUAGUGCUAUAUCCAUGGCUUACGCUCAUGUAUUGCGUGAGAGUUGAAAACGCUGAAGCGCGUUAAAAAGUAUGAACCAAUUGCUUGGCUGAAACCGGGGUUAUGCAUGAUGGGAGUAUUUUGUGUGACAAAAAUGAAGCAUAGCCUAACUAUAUGAUUUUGUAGGGAUAAGCUUUCUUUGGCUACAUUAUUUUGAUAAGACAUGAUUACUUGUUAGUAUGCUUAAAGUAUUACUAUUUUUAUGUUAAUAUGAACUUUUAUUUUGAAUCAUUUGGAUCUGAACAUUCAUGCCACAAUAAAGAAAAUUACAUUGAGAAAUAUGCUAGGUAGCAUUCCACAUCAAAAAUUCUGUUUUUAUCAUUUACCUACUCGAGGACGAGCAGGAAUUAAGCUUGGGGAUGCUUGAUACGUCUCCAAGGUAUCUAUAAUUUUUUAUUGUUCCAUGCUAUAUAUUACCCGUUUUGGAUAUUUAUGGGUUUUACUAUACACUUGUAUAUCAUUUUUUGGACUAACCUAUUAACCGGAGGCCCAGCCCAAAUUGUUGUUUUUGCCUAUUUCAGUGUUUCGCAGAAAAGGAAUAUCAAACGGAGUCCAAACGGAAUGAAACCUUCGGGAGAGUUAUUUUUAAAACAAACGCAAUCCAGGAGACUUGGAGUGGAUGUCAAGAAAAAAACAAGGCGGCCAUGAGGCAGGGAGGCGCGCCCUAGGGGGGUGGGCGCGCCCCCCACCCUCGUGGGCCCCUCGUGGCUCCUCUGACCGACUUUCUUCGCCUAUAUAUAUCUACAUACCCUGAAAACAUCCAGGAGCACCACGAAACCCUAUUUCCACAACCGCAACCUUCUGUACCCGUGAGAUCCCAUCUUGGAGCUUUUUCCGGCGCUCCGCCGGAGGGGGAAUCGAUCACGGGGGGCUUCUACAUCAACACCAUAGCCUCUCCGAUGAGUUGUGAGUAGUUUAUCACAGACCUUCGGGUCCAUAGUUAUUAGCUAGAUGGCUUCUUCUCUCUCUUGAAUCUCAAUACAAAGUUCUCCUCGAUCUUCUUGGAGAUCUAUUCGAUGUAAUUCUUUUUGCGAUGUGUUUGUGGAGAUCCAUGAAUUGUGGGUUUAUGAUCAAGUUUAUCCAUGAGAAAUAUUUGAAUCUCCUCUAAAUUCUUUUAUAUAUGAUUGGUUAUCUUUGCAAGUCUCUUCGAAUUAUCAGUUUGCUUUGGCCUACUAGAUUUAUCUUUUUUGCAAUGGGAGAAGUGCUUAGCUUUGGGUUCAAUCUUGCGGUGUCCUUUCCCAGUGACAGCAGGGGCAGCAAGGCACGUAUUGUAUUGUUGCCAUCGAGGAUAAAAAGAUGGGGUUUAUAUCAUAUUGCUUGAGUUUAUCCCUCUACAUUAUGUCAUCUUGCCUAAUGCGUUACUUUGUUCUUAUGAACUUAAUACUCUAGAUGCAUGCUGGAUAGCGGUCGAUAUGUGGAGUAAUAGUAGUAGAUGCAGGCAGCAAUCGGUCUACUUGUCGCGGACGUGAUGCCUAUAUACAUGAUCAUGCCUAGAUAUUCUCAUAACUAUGCACUUUUCUAUCAAUUGCUCGACAGUAAUUUGUUCACCACCGUAAUACGUAUGCUAUCUUGAGAGAAGCCACUAGUGAAACCUCUGGCCCACGGGUCUAUCUUUUAUCAUAUAAGCUUUCAAUCUACUUUUAUUUGCAUCUUUACUUUUCCAAUCUAUAUUAUAAAAAACCAAAAAUAUAUUUAUCUUAUCAUACUAUCUCUAUCAGAUCUCACUUUCGCAAGUGGCCGUGAAGGGAUUGACAACCCCUUUAGCGCAUUGGUUGCGAGGUUCUUGUUUGUUUGUGUAGGUACGAGGGACUUGCGCGUAGCCUCCUACUGGAUUAAUACCUUGGUUCUCAAAAGCUGAGGGAAAACUUACGCUACUUUGCUGCAUCACCCUUUCCUCUUCAAGGGAAAACCAACACAGGGCUCAAGUGGUAGCAAUGGGUUUUCCACUGAAUCUCACAUUCCAGGAUCCUAGCAUUUAUAGCAUGAAAUAUAAACUCUUAAUAAUGAACCUGGAAAUAUAAUAAUAUUAUAUUAUUGCCUCUAGGGCAUAUUUCCAAUAGUAUUCAACUUGCACUGAAGUCAAUAAUCUAGUUAGCACAUUUUUAUUUACACCAAUGGCAGUCUGGUGUUUGUCCAUACUCAGCUUGUGGUAUAGCCUUCAUCCCAUUGGAUCUUGAAAACUUCAUAUCCACGUGUAUCAUAUGCAUUUCAAUGCCUCUAUCAUGAUGGCUUUGUAUGUAUUGAAUCACUAGAAGGACCUAUGAUUCCUUGGACUGAGCUAUAGAACCACUAUUAAGUAUAGUGUUUCAUUGGCACAAUCAUCUAGAAAUCAUAACAAUCUCAUAAAUGAAAGUGUUAUUGAUCACUCUCCAUUGUUGCUUCUAAAGCAACAAUCUACUCAGCCCUCUGUUAUAGAUUUCACCACAGUAACCAACAACCCAACAAACACACUGCAAAAAACAUUACAUCGGAUAGAACUCCAAGAAGAUCGAGGAGAACAUUGUAUUGAAGAUCAAAGAGAGAAGAAGCCACUAGCUACUAGCUAUGGACUCGUAGGUCUGCGGUGAAUUGCUCACACAUCAUCGGAAGGCGGCACGGAUGAUGCAGAAGCCCUCAGUGAUCGAUUCCCCCUCCGGCGGAGUACCGGUAAAGCCCUCCAGAUGGAAUCGCGGAAGAAUAGAAGCUUGUGGUGGUGGAAAAAGUGUUUCGGAUGGCUCUCUGUUGGUUUGGGAAUAUUUGUGAAUUUAUAGGCUUGGAAUUAGGUCAAACGGAGUUGCGUGGGCCCAUAAGCUCAGGGGGCGCACUUUGUGAGCUCGUGGCUCUCUUGUAGCUCUUCUGGCCUCCUCCCGAACCUUCUAGGACCCCUUCUGGUCCAGAGAAAAUAACCAUAAUUCAUCGUAUUUGGACUUCGUUUGGUAUUGUUUUUCUGAAAAGCCAAAACAAGUAAAAAAUAGGAACUAGCACUGGGCAAUGGGUUAAUAGGUUAGUCCCAAAAGUGGUAUAAAAUAGCAUAAAAAUGCAUAUAAUCCAGGAUUGAUAAUAUAAUAGCAUGAAACAAUCAAAAGUUAUAGAUAUAUUGGAGACGUAUCAGCAUUCCCAAGCUUAAUUCCUGCUCGUCCUUGAGUAGGUAAAUGAGAAUAACAGAAUUUUUGUGUAUACAUGUAUUAUUUGUAGUGAGAUAUGUACAUGACAAAGAGCGAUACUACUGCCAGGAUCAGACCAAUGUACAUGACAUAAGAAAGAGGUGGCACAUCUCUGAAUGCAAGGUCCAUGGCAACAAGCAGACGCAAUGGAAAAGACAGAUUGUUUUGUCAUCUUUUGCAGCGCCAUCCUUUAGUAUGUCAGGGAGCAGCUAAGGAAUGAAAUCAUGCUCCAUUUUGGAUCAUAAGAUUUUAAUUUGACCAUAAGCUAAGCCUCCACCACACGAAAAGUGAUGAAAAUACAAAAUUUGUUAUGUGAUGCAAUACAAUGCAAAUCUUAUGUACUCCCUCUGUAAAGAAAUAUAAGAGCGUUUAGAUCAUUACUUUACACGUUACCAUCGUAAUCUCAAGCUUUGAAUUUAGUACUACUCAUUAAUCAAUUGUGUGAUCUUAAGAAAAUGCUAUACCUCUAAAAUGAACAACUAAAAGGUCAUGAGACACGUAGUGAUCUCCAAAUAAAUUGGUUGUUCUAGGGGAAAAGUGAUGAAAAGUGUUGUUCUAGGGGAAAAGUGAUGACAAGCAUGGAUUAUCUGUUUCGUCAUCUUGGGAGGGGGAGGGUCAUCCACAUGACCACAAGCCAAGCCCACACCCCACGUCAAGUGAUGCAAAUCCCAAUCAUGUCAUGUCAUGAUUUACAAUGCAAAUCUUCUUUAAAACUUUACACAUUGGCAUCACUAUCUUAAGCUUGGCAUUUGGUACUCCCUACGAUCCAUAUUUGUUGUCGCUCAAACGGAUGUAUCUAGCACUAAAAUACAUCUAGAUACAUCUGUUUCAGCGACAACUAAUAUGAAUCAAAGGGAAUACUACUAAUUAGUUGUGUGAUCUUAAUAAAACACCAUGCUUCUAAAAUGAACAGGUCACGAGGCGUGUACCAAUCUCCAGAUGAAUUUGAUGUUCUACAGAAUUCAUAUGUGCGGAAAGAUAAGACUGAAAACCGCACACUUACCCGGGAUAGGAUGGGAUAUUUUGAGAAAUAGAUAAGGAUUAGUUCAGGUUUCUCCCAUAUAUACGAAAUGACUGGACGAUGACUAAUUAAACGAGAGACAACAAACCACUUAUCUUCCUUUAUGACUCAAUUGAUCGAGAGCCUUCCCAAGUUGCUUUUGCGGUUUUGUUGGUCACAAUGCAGAUGCUUUGAACCUUUGCACAACCGUGGGCAUGUGGCUCCCGUUAAAUAGCCACAAGAUACCAUAAAAUUAGCACUUCCAAAGUUCCCAUUUACUCUCUCUUCCUCUCAAGUCUAACCAAAGCCCAACAAACCACCACCUCGGCCAUGGCAACCACCCUCGCCACCGACGUCCGCCUCUCCAUCGCGCACCAGACCCGCUUCGCCCUCCGUCUCGCCUCCACCAUCUCAUCCAACCCUAAGUCUGCUGCCAGCAAUGCCGCCUUCUCCCCGGUCUCCCUCUACUCCGCACUUAGCCUCCUCGCCGCUGGCGCGGGCAGUGCCACUCGGGACCAACUCGUCGCCACACUCGGGACAGGCAAGGUCGAGGGACUCCACGCGCUCGCCGAGCAGGUGGUCCAGUUUGUGCUCGCCGACGCGUCCUCCACUGGUGGUCCGCNNN
rnacentral:lncRNA from 1 species